AGCAGUCAGCCUGGCAGGUGGAUGAUGGAACCCGUUAGCUCCUGCACCAGGACGCAGGAGAUGGGUCAGACGAUAGAUGGUGGGCUCCAGCAGAAACGUAGGCAAGUGCUCCAAAAGCAAGGAGCAAUCCUCCUGCCUCAACCUCCUGAGUGCUGGGAUUACAGUCAUGUGCCACCAUACCCGGCUGCUUUUGAUGCCUGAGAAAGUUUGCAAGAAGUAAAUGAGUGUCUAAGCUGCUUUAGUUACCCAGAGUGACCAAGAGUGGAGGAAGCUCAUCUGCUUACACCAGUGCAAGAAGAUAGCUGCGGCUCUGUCUGCCAAGUGAGACAGGAUCCCAGGGGCCUUGGGACACUGUGGGUGGCUGGAGCUGCUCAACAUCAGUGCUUUGCUUUCUUUUGGCCGAGAAUGUCCAGCAACUGGAAGUGCCGGGUGAUAACCCUAGCAGCAGCCUUCGGCCAGCAACAGGAGUGAGACCCCGGCCCUUCCCUCCUGCAGUGCAGUUCUCUGGCACGUCCACACCGGGGACGGGGUCUCUGUGCUCCCAUGUGCAACUGUAUUGGCUUUUUUCCUUUCCUCUGCUGCUGUUUCCUGGGGUCACCUCCCAAAUAAACUUAUGCCCAAGUGCUUUCUCAG